AUCCCUGUAGCGUAAUUGAUGGCGUGUUGGACAUUUAAUCCAAAGGUCGUGGGUUUGAACCUUACCUGGGAUG